UACGGGGGGGCAAGCGUUAUUCGGAAUUAUUGGGCGUAAAGGGCGCGUAGGCGGCUUGGCAAGUGGAUGGUGAAAUCCCUCGGCUUAACCGAGGAACUGCCGUCCAAACUGCUUCGCUUGAGACCGGGAGAGGUGAGUGGAAUUCCCAGUGUAGCGGUGAAAUGCGUAGAUAUUGGGAGGAACACCAGUGGCGAAGGCGGCUCACUGGACCGGUACUGGACGCUGAUGCGCGAAAGCGUGGGGAGCAAACGGG
rnacentral:rRNA from 1 species